rnacentral:rRNA from 1 species
AUUGAACGCUGGCGGCAGGCCUAACACAUGCAAGUCGAACGGUAACAGGAAGAAGCUUGCUUCUUUGCUGACGAGUGGCGGACGGGUGAGUAAUGUCUGGGAAACUGUCUGAUGUAGGGGGAUAACUACUGGAAACGGUAGCUAAUACCGCAUAACGUCGCAAGACCAAAGAGGGGGAGCUUCGGGCCUCUUGCCAUCGGAUGUGCCCAGAUGGGAUUAGCUAGUAGGUGGGGUAACGGCUCACCUAGGCGACGAUCCCUAGCUGGUCUGAGAGGAUGACCAGCCACACUGGAACUGAGACACGGUCCAGGCUCCUGCGGGAGGCAGCAGUGGGGAAUAUUGCACAAUGGGCGCAAGCCUGAUGCAGCCAUGCCGCGUGUAUGAAGAAGGCCUUCGGGUUGUAAAGUACUUUCAGCGGGGAGAAAGGGAGUAAAGUUAAUACCUUGGCUCAUUGACGUUACCCGCAGAAGAAGCACCGGCUAACUCCGUG